rnacentral:rRNA from 1 species
GGAAUAUUGGACAAUGGAGGAAACUCUGAUCCAGCCAUGCCGCGUGAGUGAAGAAGGCCUUAGGGUUGUAAAGCUCUUUCAAUAGUGAAGAUAAUGAGGGUAGCUAUAGAAGAAGCCCCGGCUAAAUUCGUGCCAGCAGCCGCGGUAAUACGAAUGGGGCAAGCGUUGUUCGGAAUCACUGGGCUUAAAGCGUGCGUAGGCGGAUUUGCAAGUCAGAAGUGAAAUCCCGGGGCUCAACCCCGAAACUGCUUUUGAAACUGCAAAUCUAGAAUCCGGGAGGGGUUAGGAGAAUUCCUAGUGUAGAGGUGAAAUUCGCAGAUAUUAGGAGGAAUACCAGUGGCGUAGGCGCCUAACUGGACCGGUAUUGACGCUGAGGUACGAAAGCGUGGGGAGC